rnacentral:rRNA from 1 species
UGGGGAAUUUUGGACAAUGGGGGAAACCCUGAUCCAGCCAUCCCGCGUGUGCGAUGAAGGCCUUCGGGUUGUAAAGCACUUUUGGCAGGAAAGAAACGUCAUGGGUUAAUACCCCGUGAAACUGACGGUACCUGCAGAAUAAGCACCGGCUAACUACGUGCCAGCAGCCGCGGUAAUACGUAGGGUGCAAGCGUUAAUCGGAAUUACUGGGUGUAAAGCGUGCGCAGGCGGUUCGGAAAGAAAGAUGUGAAAUCCCAGAGCUCAACUUUGGAACUGCAUUUUUAACUACCGGGCUAGAGUGUGUCAGAGGGAGGUGGAAUUCCGCGUGUAGCAGUGAAAUGCGUAGAUAGGCGGAGGAACACCGAUGGCGAAGGCAGCCUCCUGGGAUAACACUGACGCUCAUGCACGAAAGCGUGGGGAGCAAACAGG